rnacentral:rRNA from 1 species
UACAGAGGGUGCAAGCGUUGUUCGGAAUUAUUGGGCGUAAAGGGAGUGUAGGCGGUUUGUUAAGUCUUCUGUGAAAUCUACGGGCUUAGCCUGUAACGUGCAGAGGAAACUGACAGGCUUGAGUGUCGGAGAGGAUAGGGGAAUUCCCGGUGUAGAGGUGAAAUUCGUAGAUAUUGGGAAGAACACCAGUGGCGAAGGCGGCCACCUGGACGGACACUGACGCUGAGACGCGAAAGCGUGGGGAGCAAACAGG